UGUAUUUAUGUUUCAGGAGACGAGUGUGCACUAGAUCAGUUCCCAGUUCAGUUAACCAUCAUCAUCGAAGUGGACAAUCUAGGUAUAGUAGUAUUAACUAGAAUAUAAGUACAGGUAGAUCCAAGAAUGAGAUUAUUUAUUUAAUAAUUAAGAUUAGACAUCCAACAGCUUCUUUCCCAUGGACUUCAAUUAUUUUUAGGUAUUUUAGCAUAUUUAAUAUUAAGUCCGAUACACCUUCAAUUUUUCUGUGCUGCCCUGGAUGGACGCAGGCAACACAAUUAAGUUUUGGAUGCAAUAAACCUAGCUGUCCCUUACCAUGCCUAAACGGAGGUACAUGCGCCUCCCCUGGCAGGUGUUCAUGUCACAAGGGAUUCACAGGCAAUCAGUGCCAGACAGAUAUCGACGAGUGCGUGACGGAGAAGCCCUGCGACCAACUCUGCAGGAAUCUACCCGGAACCUACGAAUGCCACUGCAGGCCCGGCUUUCAGCUACAAAGGGACGGCCAGUCCUGUCGAAAGAAUGGUGAGCGAACGUCGGAUAAAUUAUCACGAACGCUUCUCAGAAUCCCCUUUCCGAGAUUCCUCGACGUUGAUUAAUGUCCCAUCGAAAACCACAUGGAACAUCGUUUUGGAAACCAUGUAUCCCAAUUCAUGUUUGUUGUUUUUAUUUUUAAGCCAACAUUAUUUUUAUCGAGCAGCCAGAUUUUAAAGUAUGUCUUCCAUUAAUCUUAGGGUUGAAGCAUACUAAUCGUUUUGGUCUCGGUUCUUUAAAAGUGUAUUCGAAUUUUUCUUGUGUUAUGCAUACACUUUCUCUCGCUUCGCUCGCUGAAAAGGUUGAACCACCUUCUGCUUUUUAGACGAAACAAAUAUUUUCACAGAUAUGCAGAUGUUCUCUUGAAAAUAUCGCACUUAUAUUAAUGUUAUACUGUAUUAAGGAUGUACAGG